UAUUUUUACGAAAAACGUAAACGUCUGUUAUAAUGAAAUUCUGAUCUAUUUGUAUAAUUAAUUACCAACCUUCGAUGAUCACUCUUUUCGAUAUUCCCACAAUCGGCACAAUUGCCCAAACCCACCGCGAUUACUCUAUGAUAGUAUCGUUAUAUACGUAUUAUUUUGAAGUUAAUACUGCGAUAUGUCAUCAUUUGAAAUGUAGUCUGUAACACACGUUCCCAGCGCACGCGUUAUUCCGUGCACGACAACGUUUAUAAUAUUCAGAUCACGAAACACAAUCGAAAUGUUCAAAUACGUAUAUUUGGUCGUUUGCGUAUUGUGUCUACUGUACAUGCUAGCUGCUGUUUAUGUGCUAUUUAACGAUUUGAUAUUUAAUCCAUUGUAUAGUUAUCUGUUCAACCGAGGUUAGGGUAUUUCUAUUGCAAACGCCCGACGUCUUCAAACCGUCCACAUAAAGUUUUAUUAUUAUUGGGGUGUAGAUGUCGGUCUUGUACCGCGCCCGAUGGACGUAACCAUUAUUUUCAUCAUGAACCAUGCCCAAGUAUCCGAAGUUCGGAUUCCGAAUAGACUUCGCUCCAACUGUUGGAGUCCAACACAAGGGACAAAAGAACAAUUCUGACAGUUAAACUUCGUGUAUGCCCAACUAAUAAUAUUACUAAAAACCGUUAAGGACUUCUAUGUAUUUUUUGCCCUUCCCUAAUAAUUUGACGUGGGCGCUCAUGUCAAACACUAGCUGUCAACACCACGAUUUAAGAUAUACAAAUGUAUGUACAUAUAUAUAUCUUAAAUCGUGAUCAACACUAAAGUAGAAAAUAGUUUUGCAAUUUAACAUGGAUUGAAACUGGAUUUCGAAUUAUUCAAAAAGAAGAAAAUCGACUGUCUAACAAAAAUGGCAGCAAACAGUUAUCCAGUUACAAAUAUCCACAUAUGACUAUUGUCAAUGUUACAUCAAUGUACAAUCUUUAUUAUUAUACAUUUUAUUUUUAUAUUGCUGUUAAAUUAACACAAAACUAUAACUUUUAGUUAAUUAUUGACGCAAUAAAUGUAAAUAUUAUUAUAAUAGUUUUUUUUUUUUUUUUAAGUAAAUCAUAUUUUAUAAUUUUAUAUUAAUCCUUGUGAUUUAUUUGUAAGUUGUGAAUACAUCAAAAAUGAAAUCUAUAUUGUAAUACUAUAAAAAAUAUUUAUCCAACACUUGACAGUAUAACUGGUCAGAAAUCAGAGUAGGUAGGAAAUAAUAGUAUAAUGUGAAAAUAUUUUACUUGUUACUAUAUCUUUUAAAAGGUAGAAAUAAAUAAUCAAAUUCAAAAA